rnacentral:tRNA from 1 species
UCCGGCGUAGCUCAGCGGUAGAGCGGGUGGCUGUUAACCACUAGGUC